rnacentral:rRNA from 1 species
UACGUAGGGUGCGAGCGUUGUCCGGAAUUACUGGGCGUAAAGAGCUCGUAGGUGGUUUGUCGCGUUGUCCGUGAAAACUCACAGCUUAACUGUGGGCGUGCGGGCGAUACGGGCAGACUGGAGUACUGCAGGGGGAGACUGGAAUUCCUGGUGUAGCGGUGGAAUGCGCAGAUAUCAGGAGGAACACCGGUGGCGAAGGCGGGUCUCUGGGCAGUAACUGACGCUGAGGAGCGAAAGCGUGGGGAGCGAACAGG